UGAAAAAGAAGCCAUGACUUUGAAAGAGCA
rnacentral:piRNA from 1 species